GGCGUUUGCUCAUUUGAAUACAUUAGCAUGGAAUAAUAAGAUACGGCCUUGGUGGUCUAUUUUGUUGGUU